UGAGGAAUAUUGGACAAUGGGUGGAAGCCUGAUCCAGCCAUCCCGCGUGCAGGAAGACGGCCCUAUGGGUUGUAAACUGCUUUUAUCUGGGGAUAAACCUACUUACGUGUAAGUAGCUGAAGGUACCAGAAGAAUAAGCACCGGCUAACUCCGUGCCAGCAGCCGCGGUAAUACGGAGGGUGCAAGCGUUAUCCGGAUUUAUUGGGUUUAAAGGGUCCGUAGGCGGACUAGUAAGUCAGUGGUGAAAUCCGACAGCUUAACUGUCGAACUGCCAUUGAUACUGCUAGUCUUGAGUAAGGUUGAAGUGGCUGGAAUAAGUAGUGUAGCGGUGAAAUGCAUAGAUAUUACUUAGAACACCAAUUGCGAAGGCAGGUCACUAA
rnacentral:rRNA from 1 species